AUGAACGUUGGCGGCGUGGAUAAGGCAUGCAAGUCGAACGCCCCGCAAGGGGAGUGGCGCAAGGGUGAGUAAGGCGACGGUAACCAACCCCGAGAUUGGGCAUAGCCGAGGGAAACUUCGGGUAAUUCCCAGCGAUGUGUCAGGGCGGCAUCACCCUGACACCAAAGCUCCGGCGUCUUGGGACGGGCCGUCGUGGUAUUAGGUUGUUGGCGGGGUAACGGCCCACCAAGCCUGCGAUGCCUACCGGGCGUGCGAGCGUGGCCCGGCACACUGGGACUGAGACACUGCCCAGACUCCUACGGGAGGCUGCAGUCGAGAAUCUUCGGCAAUGGGCGCAAGCCUGACCGAGCGACGCCGCGUGGAGGAUGAAGGCCUUCGGGUUGUAAACUCCUGUCGAGGGGGAGGAAGCCGCAAGGUUGACCGAUCCCUGGAGGAAGACGGGCUAAGUUCGUGCCACA
rnacentral:rRNA from 1 species